AGAUGUGAGAGCAAUCUGGCUGAGACAUCUGUCACCGCAUUGUUCACCAGCACUGAUUCUCCUGAUCUAACUGGUGAUGGGGACGUUCACCUCUCACCAUUCCAUUUAUGGUCUGCCUCACUGGAAGCUGCACACANGGGAACAUUGA
rnacentral:snRNA from 1 species